rnacentral:rRNA from 1 species
UAGGGAAUAUUGGACAAUGGGGGCAACCCUGAUCCAGCCAUGCCGCGUGAGUGAAGAAGGCCCUCGGGUUGUAAAGCUCUUUUGUCCGGAAAGAAAAGCAUUCGGUGAAUACCCGGAUGUUCUGACGGUACCGGAAGAAUAAGCACCGGCUAACUUCGUGCCAGCAGCCGCGGUAAUACGAAGGGUGCAAGCGUUACUCGGAAUUACUGGGCGUAAAGCGUGCGUAGGUGGUUGUUUAAGUCUGAUGUGAAAGCCCUGGGCUCAACCUGGGAAUGGCAUUGGAAACGGGACAGCUAGAGUGCGGUAGAGGGUAGUGGAAUUCCCGGUGUAGCAGUGAAAUGCGUAGAGAUGCGGAGGAACACCGAUGGCGAAGGCAGCCUCCUGGGAUGACACUGACGCUCAUGCACGAAAGCGUGGGGAGCAAACA